GCGGCCGUAGUCUAGUGGUUAGGACUGAGGCUUCCCAAGCCUCAAGCCCGGGUUCAAAUCCCGGCGGCCGCA
rnacentral:tRNA from 1 species